ensembl:snRNA U6 U6 spliceosomal RNA
GGGCUCGCUUUGGCAGCACACACACUAAAACUGGAGUGCUGCAGAGAUCAGCAUGACUGCUGUACAAGGAUGGUGCACAGAUUUGUGAAACAUUCCAUAUUUUU